rnacentral:rRNA from 1 species
GCUCACACCGGUCUAAACUCAGAUCAUGUAAAAUUUUAAAGGUCGAACAGACCUAAUUUGUUAGCUUCUGCACCAACAAUUUAUUUUAAUCCAACAUCGAGGUCGCAAUCUUUUUAUUCGAUAAGAACUCUAAAAAAAAUUACGCUGUUAUCCCUAAGGUAAUUUAUUUUUAUAAUCUUAAUAUAAGGAUCAAAUAUUCAUAAAUUAAUGGCUUCAAAAUAUAAAAAGUUUGCUUAAUUUU